CCGCAAGCAGCGGCGAUUAGCAGGAAAUUAAGCGAGGAUCAGAAGUCUGCCUCUGUAUAAACCAUCCCAACAACGGGGGUAAAAACCUGCUCCCUGUGUACCAUGGCACUGAGCGACGCUGGUUGCUUGGCUGUGUUUGUGUUGUGGUACCCUCCAAGGUUUUAGAGAGAAUGGUUUUGCUUGUGUUUUCACAUAUUUAAAGUGAAAAAGGGUAAGGUUACCCAACUUGCAGCUCUUGACACACUAAGAAGAAAAAGAUAGCAUGGGAUGUUUUCAUUCUGGCUCCUAGUAAGCUUGUUUGAGUCUUCAUUUCUGUUACUAAAACUGUACAUUGGGUAAGUGGAUAUUAGGUAAAGUUGUAUGUUUGGUUUUGUUUUUUGAUUUGUUUUGUUAUGUUUGUUGUUUUCAACAGGAUAGAGAAAUUUCUGGGUUUUGGCUGAUUUGUGUAAGGAGAAAAGCCAUUUUGUUUACAUUAAGAGUUGCUCCAAAACAUGCCAAUGGAUAAAAAAGGAUCCACAGUUGUGAAAAAUCGCUGUUUGACUCAUCCAGUGAGUACCUUGCUGGAGUUGAUAAACACUGCUGCCUCCAAACAGAAAUCAUCCAGGCAUAGGAGGAGAUCUGUGCCCUUCUUCCACCCUGACUCCUGCUAGAUGCCCUCACCUCUGUACAGGCUUCUGUGCUCCCACGUGCCUUUACUGUGGUGCAAGUAAGGUUUUAUGUGGUGUGUAAACAAGGAAAUCCCUAGAAGCAAAAGAGCACUUUAGAAGUUGGGCUUGCCUGAUGGCAAAAUGAUGACAUGCAGCCACAGCACUGAUAAGGGCUGCAUGUCUGUUGUGUGUUGAGAAAUGGGUGAAACACAGCACAGGGGAGGAAGAGAUGGAAUGUCAUCAUGUGCUUUCCAUUUGCACCAACAUAAAAAAAGGGAUAGUGUUUUCUACUCUUUCCAAGAUAAUGUGAUGUAUGUGUCUGGUUCUAUUAUUUAAAAAAUAUUAAAAUUAUUUGAAAUAUGUUUCAG
rnacentral:lncRNA from 1 species